UUCCAUGAGGUUUCAGUCUGAGAUUGAGCUGCUCUUCAUCAUGUGAAGCCUCUGUCUGGUUCGGGUCCUCUGAUCUGGAUCAUUAUUUGCUGCAUCAACACGAGACAAACAAGUCACUGGUUUGUCUUCUCACCACAAAGCGUCGGAUAAGGGCUUCAUCAUUAUCGGUGCGUUUGAGAAUGGAGUAGCUGAGGGUGAGAUUGAGGAGGCGCUGCAGCCGAUCUCAGCACUUCGCCUGGUGGUUCAUUCUGACGCUGACGUCUGGGCUCUACUCAGUGAGGUACUCAUUAAAGUUUGAUGACCACAGAAAAGAGGAAACUCCACACAUGCUGCCAUUGAGCCCAGAGCUUCACCUGAGCUAAUGUCAUCCUGCUGGACAAAGACUGUCACUACAGGAACUGUUUUUACAAGGCCUCAAGUGCCUAAACCAACUGUGGUCUGUGGGGAAGGAGGAUCUAUGUUUAGUGUUUGUUUUGAGCUGGACUGAGGUCCCUUACUUUCACUUCAAACAUUAAUAUUAAAUAUGUUGAGUAUUUGGAAGGGACUCCACUUCCCUUGUGAACUGAGUGAAUUGGCCAGUGUGGCUGUUUACAGACACUUAUCAAGAGUUGGUAGGUAAAACAGCUGAGGUGCUGAGUGAAUAAUUAUGUAAUAAUUAUAUUUUUCUGUCAGAAACAAAGAAAAU